ACUCCCCGAGCUUGAUGUGUAGGGAAGGGAAGGGGCCUGAACAAUCUCUGAGGAGUAGUAGAAUAGCAGAUGGAACACUGAGAAGUGAUUUCCUUAAGGAUAGAUUUCCAUGAUGGGAAAGGAAAUGAGAGGUUCUAAGAGGCGGGCUAGCGGCUUGUAACCUACGUGGAAGAGGUUAUGAAAUGACAAUAGAAUAGAGUGGGCCUGUGAGGCUGGAAGCAGAUAUUCUUCUGUUUCUCCUCUUCCUCUUUCCCUUCCCCUUCCCCUUUCCCUUUCCCUUCCCUUCCUUCCUUCCUUUCUUUUCUCACUCUGUUGCCCAGGCUGGAAUGCAGUGGUACAAUCAUAGGGACCAAACUUUUGGUCUCAUCUUAAGUCUUUAAAACCCAUUUAAAGAGUGUAUAACCCUUUAAAUGAUGUUAAAUGUUCCACCUUAUUCUAGGCUGGAAGAAACUUGAUUUUGCCUAGUAACUAGUCUUUCCAAUAUUAUUUGCCUUGUUUGUUCCAGAAAAUCUCAUCUAUAGCAUGGACUUAAGACAUCAAACUCUGUUCUACUGAGGAAGGACAUUUUUAUUUCCACUAGUUAAGACAAGGGUUUCCUUAGGCUUCAAUCAUCUGCUAGAAAUGCCCAGUAGGAUGAUUAUUUUAAACCUGUAAAAACAGCACAGUAUUAAAAUGAAUAUUAAAGGACAUUUUUCUAAAAUCUCCUUGACCUUGCCCCUUCCCAACUCUUUCAAUUUUGGGGUGUUCCCUGUU
rnacentral:lncRNA from 1 species